CCUACGGGAGGCAGCCAGUGGGGAAUAUUGGACAAUGGGCGCAAGCUUUKAUAACUAGCCAUGCCGCGUGAGUGAUGAAGGCCUUAGGGUUGUAAAGCUCUUUCACCGGAGAAGAUAAUGACGGUAUCCGGAGAAGAAGCCCCGGCUAACUUCGUGCCAGCAGCCGCGGUAAU
rnacentral:rRNA from 1 species